rnacentral:rRNA from 1 species
AUUGAACGCUGGCGGCAUGCCUUACACAUGCAAGUCGAACGACGUUUACGGGGGCAACUCUGUAGCGAGUGGCGAACGGGUGAGUAAUGCAUCGGAACGUGCCCUCCUUGUGGGGGAGUAACCAGUCGAAAGAUUGGCUAAUACCGCAUGAGCUCGAGAGAGGAAAGCGGGGGAUCCGCAAGGACCUCGCGCGAGAGGAGCGGCCGAUGCCCGAUUAGCUAGUUGGGGGGUAAAAGCCCACCAAGGCGACGAUCGGUAGCUGGUCUGAGAGGACGACCAGCCACACUGGGACUGAGACACGGCCCAGACUCCUACGGGAGCAGCAGUGGGGAAUUUUGGACAAUGGGGGCAACCCUGAU